rnacentral:tRNA from 1 species
AGGCUUUAGUUUAAUUAAAACAUCUGGGUUGCAUUCAGAUGAUAUAGGAAAAAUCUUGUAAGUCUUU